ACCGUCAAUUUAAUUCCCUCCUGGAAGCAUCUGCUUCAUUGUACCAGGAGGAAAGAGCUCUCAAGAGUUGAUAAUGUGUCAUUUCAUAAUCCAUGCCAUUAUUAUUAGGGAAGGAAGCUCGAGGGGUCAUGGAACUACACCUUGGAGAGAAAAGAUCUGAAGAUAGGGUACGACGAAGGGUCACAAAGUUUGAUGCCUUCAAUGUUGG
rnacentral:lncRNA from 1 species